UACGGAGGGUGCGCACGUUAAUCGGAAUUACUGGGCGUAAAGCGCGCGUAGGCGGUUCGGCAAGUGGGAUGUGAAAGCCCCGGGCUUAACCUGGGAAUUGCGUUCCAAACUACCGGGCUAGAGUAUGGUAGAGGGAGGUAGAAUUUCCUGUGUAGCGGUGAAAUGCGUAGAUAUAGGAAGGAAUACCGGUUGCGAAGGCGGCCUCCUGGACCAAUACUGACGCUGAGGUGCGAAAGCGUCGGGAGCAAACAGG
rnacentral:rRNA from 1 species